CCUGAAAGAUUAUAGGAGGUCCAGCCUGCCCAGUGAUAAAAUUAAACGGCCGCGGUACCCUAACCGUGCGAAGGUAGCGCAAUCACUUGUUCUUUAAAUGAGGACUAGUAUGAACGGCAUCACGAGGAUUAUACUGUCUCCCCCCUUWAAUCAGUGAAACUGAUCCCCCCGUGAAGAAGCGGGAAUAAACAUAUAAGACGAGAAGACCCUAUGGAGCUUUAAACUCAACACCACUUAUCUAAAACACUCCAUAAUAAACAGAUAAGCUUGUGAACGUUUUAGGUUGGGGUGACCACGGAGUAAAAUUUAACCUCCACGUUGAAAGGCCUUAUCCUUAUCCAAGAGCCACAUCUCCAAGAAUCAACAAAUUGACAUUUAUUGACCCAAAUACUUUUUUGACCAACGAAC
rnacentral:rRNA from 1 species